CCUACGGGGGGCUGCAGUGAGGAAUAUUGGUCAAUGGGCGCGAGCCUGAACCAGCCAAGUAGCGUGAAGGAUGACUGCCCUACGGGUUGUAACCUUCUUUUAUAAAGGAAUAAAGUGAGGCACGUGUGCCUUUUUGUAUGUACUUUAUGAAUAAGGCUCGGCUAACUACGUGCCAGCAGCCGCGGUAAUACGGAGGAUCCGAGCGUUAUCCGGAUUUAUUGGGUUUAAAGGGAGCGUAGAUGGGUUGUUAAGUCAGUUGGGAAAGUUUGCGGCUCAAACGUAAAAUUGCAAUUGAUACUGGCAGUCGUGAGUACAGUUGAGGGAGGCGGAAUUCGUGGAGUAGCGGUGAGAUGCUUAGAUAUCACGAAGAACUCCGAGUGCGAAGGCAGCUGACAAAACUGCCACUGACAUUGAUGCGCGAGAGUGUGUGGAGCAAACAGGAGUAAAGACCCUAGUAGUC
rnacentral:rRNA from 1 species